rnacentral:rRNA from 1 species
ACUAAGCGUACACGGUGGAUGCCCUGGCAGUCAGAGGCGAUGAAGGGCGUGCUAAUCUGCGAUAAGCGCCGGUAAGGUGAUAUGAACCGUUAUAACCGGCGAUACCCGAAUGGGGAAACCCAGUGUGACUCGUCACACUAUCAUUAACUGAAUCCAUAGGUUAAUGAGGCGAACCGGGGGAACUGAAACAUCUAAGUACCCCGAGGAAAAGAAAUCAACCGAGAUUCCCCCAGUAGCGGCGAGCGAACGGGGAGGAGCCCAGAGCCUGAAUCAGCAUGUGUGUUAGUGGAAGCGUCUGGAAAGGCGCGCGAUACAGGGUGACAGCCCCGUACACAAAAGCGCAUGUGCUGUGAGCUCGAUGAGUAGGGCGGGACACGUGGUAUCCUGUCUGAAUAUGGGGGGACCAUCCUCCAAGGCUAAAUACUCCUGACUGACCGAUAGUGAACCAGUACCGUGAGGGAAAGGCGAAAAGAACCCCGGCGAGGGGAGUGAAAAAGAACCUGAAACCGUGUACGUACAAGCAGUGGGAGCACAGGUUUACCUGUGUGACUGCGUACCUUUUGUAUAAUGGGUCAGCGACUUAUAUUCUGUAGCAAGGUUAACCGAAUAGGGGAGCCGGAGGGAAACCGAGUCUUAACCGGGCGUUAAGUUGCAGGGUAUAGACCCGAAACCCGGUGAUCUAGCCAUGGGCAGGUUGAAGGUUGGGUAACACUAACUGGAGGACCGAACCGACUAAUGUUGAAAAAUUAGCGGAUGACCUGUGGCUGGGGGUGAAAGGCCAAUCAAACCGGGAGAUAGCUGGUUCUCCCCGAAAGCUAUUUAGGUAGCGCCUCGUGAAUUCAUCUCCGGGGGUAGAGCACUGUUUCGGCUAGGGGGCCAUCCCGGCUUACCAACCCGAUGCAAACUGCGAAUACCGGAGAAUGUUAUCACGGGAGACACACGGCGGGUGCUAACGUCCGUCGUGAAGAGGGAAACAACCCAGACCGCCAGCUAAGGUCCCAAAGUCAUGGUUAAGUGGGAAACGAUGUGGGAAGGCCCAGACAGCCAGGAUGUUGGCUUAGAAGCAGCCAUCAUUUAAAGAAAGCGUAAUAGCUCACUGGUCGAGUCGGCCUGCGCGGAAGAUGUAACGGGGCUAAACCAUGCACCGAAGCUGCGGCAGCGACGCUGAUGCGUUGUUGGGUAGGGGAGCGUUCUGUAAGCCUGCGAAGGUGGCCUGUGAGGGUUGCUGGAGGUAUCAGAAGUGCGAAUGCUGACAUAAGUAACGAUAAAGCGGGUGAAAAGCCCGCUCGCCGGAAGACCAAGGGUUCCUGUCCAACGUUAAUCGGGGCAGGGUGAGUCGACCCCUAAGGCGAGGCCGAAAGGCGUAGUCGAUGGGAAACGGGUUAAUAUUCCCGUACUUGGUGUUACUGCGAAGGGGGGACGGAGAAGGCUAUGUUGGCCGGGCGACGGUUGUCCCGGUUUAAGCGUGUAGGUGUGUGUUCCAGGUAAAUCCGGUUCACUUUAACACUGAGGCGUGACGACGAGGCACUACGGUGCUGAAGCAACAAAUGCCCUGCUUCCAGGAAAAGCCUCUAAGCAUCAGGUAACAUCAAAUCGUACCCCAAACCGACACAGGUGGUCAGGUAGAGAAUACCAAGGCGCUUGAGAGAACUCGGGUGAAGGAACUAGGCAAAAUGGUGCCGUAACUUCGGGAGAAGGCACGCUGACACGUAGGUGAAGUGAUUUACUCAUGGAGCUGAAGUCAGUCGAAGAUACCAGCUGGCUGCAACUGUUUAUUAAAAACACAGCACUGUGCAAACACGAAAGUGGACGUAUACGGUGUGACGCCUGCCCGGUGCCGGAAGGUUAAUUGAUGGGGUCAGCGCAAGCGAAGCUCCUGAUCGAAGCCCCGGUAAACGGCGGCCGUAACUAUAACGGUCCUAAGGUAGCGAAAUUCCUUGUCGGGUAAGUUCCGACCUGCACGAAUGGCGUAAUGAUGGCCAGGCUGUCUCCACCCGAGACUCAGUGAAAUUGAACUCGCUGUGAAGAUGCAGUGUACCCGCGGCAAGACGGAAAGACCCCGUGAACCUUUACUAUAGCUUGACACUGAACAUUGAGCCUUGAUGUGUAGGAUAGGUGGGAGGCUUUGAAGUGUGGACGCCAGUCUGCAUGGAGCCGACCUUGAAAUACCACCCUUUAAUGUUUGAUGUUCUAACGUGGACCCGUUACCCGGGUUGCGGACAGUGUCUGGUGGGUAGUUUGACUGGGGCGGUCUCCUCCUAAAGAGUAACGGAGGAGCACGAAGGUUGGCUAAUCCUGGUCGGACAUCAGGAGGUUAGUGCAAUGGCAUAAGCCAGCCUGACUGCGAGCGUGACGGCGCGAGCAGGUGCGAAAGCAGGUCAUAGUGAUCCGGUGGUUCUGAAUGGAAGGGCCAUCGCUCAACGGAUAAAAGGUACUCCGGGGAUAACAGGCUGAUACCGCCCAAGAGUUCAUAUCGACGGCGGUGUUUGGCACCUCGAUGUCGGCUCAUCACAUCCUGGGGCUGAAGUAGGUCCCAAGGGUAUGGCUGUUCGCCAUUUAAAGUGGUACGCGAGCUGGGUUUAGAACGUCGUGAGACAGUUCGGUCCCUAUCUGCCGUGGGCGCUGGAGAACUGAGGGGGGCUGCUCCUAGUACGAGAGGACCGGAGUGGACGCAUCACUGGUGUUCGGGUUGUCAUGCCAAUGGCACUGCCCGGUAGCUAAAUGCGGAAGAGAUAAGUGCUGAAAGCAUCUAAGCACGAAACUUGCCCCGAGAUGAGUUCUCCCUGAGACUUAGAGUCUCCUGAAGGAACGUUGAAGACGACGACGUUGAUAGGCCGGGUGUGUAAGCGCAGCGAUGCGUUGAGCUAACCGGUACUAAUGAACCGUGAGGCUUAACC